rnacentral:rRNA from 1 species
GAUGAACGCUGGCGGCGUGCCUAAUACAUGCAAGUCGAGCGAACGGACGAGAAGCUUGCUUCUCUGAUGUUAGCGGCGGACGGGUGAGUAACACGUGGAUAACCUACCUAUAAGACUGGGAUGACUUCGGGAAACCGGAGCUAAUACCGGAUAAUAUUUUGAACCGCAUGGUUCAAAAGUGAAAGACGGUCUUGCUGUCACUUAUAGAUGGAUCCGCGCUGCAUUAGCUAGUUGGUAAGGUAACGGCUUACCAAGGCAACGAUGCAUAGCCGACCUGAGAGGGUGAUCGGCCACACUGGAACUGAGACACGGUCCAGACUCCUACGGGAGGCAGCAGUAGGGAAUCUUCCGCAAUGGGCGAAAGCCUGACGGAGCAACGCCGCGUGAGUGAUGAAGGUCUUCGGAUCGUAAAACUCUGUUAUUAGGGAAGAACAUAUGUGUAAGUAACUGUGCACAUCUUGACGGUACCUAAUCAGAAAGCCACGGCUAACUACGUG